rnacentral:lncRNA from 1 species
GCGGGGCUCCGCGCUUUACGCCUCCUUACUGCGCGCCGCGGCAGGGGGCAGAGAUGAGAAGGGGUGGGGGGACCGAGCAGCGGCGGCUGGAGCGCGGCGGCUGCGUGUGUGUGUGUGUGUGUAUGUGUGUGUGCCCCCCCGCCGAACGGGGAGUCAGGUGGGACAUGCACACAGACGCGCGCAUGCAGCCCCCCCCCCCCCCCCUCCGUCCCCGCACUCCCGGCCCCUUCCCCGCUUUCCUCCUUUGCCUUCAUCCUUCCCUCUCUCCUUUAUUUAUUUCCACGCCCGCCCUCCGACGCUGCCCCCCGCAGCCCCUCCCGGGCAGCGACCUCCGAACCGCGGGAGCGACCUCCCGGGACGGGGCCUUGCGGCGUAAGGGCACGCAGCCCCCGGGGUCGCCGCCCCGUCGGGUCCCGCCACACCGCACGUUGUCGGGAGCCGCGCAUCCCCCCCACCCCCCCGCCCCGGUCUCGGCUGCUGUGUCACCUGGCACCAUGUGCUCCUCAGCAGCGCUGUUUGAGAAUUGUCUCUAUUCGUGGAACUUCUCCGUGGGGAGGGACUUUUAUCUUUUGUUUUUAAGCCCUUCUUUCCCAUCUUUGCCACUGCACAAUUUGGAUGUGGAGUUCCUGGAAAGUGAACGCUGGCAAUAAGUGCAGCUUUCCCUGAAAGCUGAGGCUGCUGCUUAUUCCCUACUGAGAAGAGAGAGGGGAUCGUGGAUGUCAGCUCCAUCUUUCUUUCUUUCUUUCUCUUUCUUUCUUUCUUUCUUUCUUUCUUUCUUUCUUUCUUUCUUUCUUUCUUUCUUUCUUUCUUUCUUUCUUUCUUUCUUUCUUUCUUUCUUUCUUUCUUUCUUUCUUUCUUUCUUUCUCUCUCUCUCUCUCUCUCUCUCUCUCUCUCUCUCUCUCUCUUUCUCUCUUUCUCUCUUUCUUUUUUUCCCCUUCUUUUUAUCUUUUCCUUUAUUUUGACUUUGAGGUGCAUUUUCUCUUCCUGCUCUGGGAAUUGGCAGAUACAGUUCCUGUAGGCAACUUUGCAUCAAGACAGAGACUGUGAAGUUGAUACCUCAGUGCUUUUCUUAGCUGUGCUCUUCUAUUAAUUGGUGUUAGAAAGUGCAACCUUGUAGCACAGUUAUUGAAUAAUCAUUAAUCUGUGGAGGAUACACAAGCCCAAAGGUUAAUAAUAACAAUUAAUAAUAGUGACUUUGCUAGCAGGGAGACUAUUUUCUCAUAGUUAUUAAAAGGCACUCCCAUUUAUGCUAUGUAUGGAGAGGUGAAUUUGGCCCUGGUGUGCUGAAUACCACUUUACCGCAGCAAGCCCACAGAUGAAUCCUCCCCAUUAUCUCCAUGCUGUCAGGUCUCUCGCUUUUUCUCCCUUUAAAAUGUAUCAAACACUGCUCUCAUUUUAAAUAGAAAUGCUCAGGCUUUAAUCAAUUCUGACAUUUCCACUGGAAAAUAACAUCUAGCUCUCUUACACAGAUAAAAAUUUAUUUGCCUGUAGCUGGUCUGCUGUAGCGCUUUGGACCUAUUCGCUUCUCAGAGAAGACUUGGCUUUUCAUGGUCUCUAGGUACCACGGGGCAAUAAAUAGAAAGUCAGUGCAAGGGGGAUGUUCACACUUUUACAGUCACAACUCUCCGCUGCCUCCUCGCUGAGCUCUUCUGUCUGCCUAACCAGCAUGCUCCUGUUGUCCAAGACCCAUCUCCUUUAUUUGUAUCACACCCCUGUCUGGCUGGUCAGUGAAUCUUAAUAAUAAUCAUGUUUCAUGUCUCAGAAAUCUAAUAAUCAAGUUACUCAUUCGUAUAAAUUGCAACUAAGCUGUUUGGAUUCGUUGUGUUAUCCCCACUUUAAAGGCACGGAAACUGAAACAGAAAAAUUAACACAUUUGCCUGAGGCCACACAUGGAUUGAAGAGUAUGUCCAGCACUGGAACUGAAUUCUGUAUUUAGACCAUGCUUCCUCUUAAAGAUUGUGAAGCACACUGUGGAAAAUGUUUUUAAAGAAAGGAAUGUAGUAUAAACCUUAUUUUCCAUUGACUUUGUAUACUAGUCAAAUUGCAUGCCUUUCUUUUUUUUGGGGGGGGGAGGGGGGGGGGAGGUUUAAUAUAUAUCACGUUUCCUUUUCUAAAUACAAGAUUUAUUCGACUUUUGACAAAGACAAAGGUGGAACCUUUCAGUUGCAGUCAGCUUACUGUGGAAACAAGAAACAUUUACUGUGAGAUUGUGAGCAGUAAUGGGAACAGAAUUGCUUGUUAUUAGGUUAUUGUAAACAGUAUCCAUUGGAUGUUACGGUGUAGUUGUAGGCCAGCACAAUAUAAUGAGAAGUUCAGCACUAGUACAGAUAAGGUGCUAUUGCUUACCUGGCGUGCAUCAGUUUCCACCGUAAUUCUCCUUCAGUGCUUUCAGUAGCAAAAUACUUAGUGUGGGUUUAAGCACUGAAAAACAUGUGGGACAGCCAUAUACUGUGAGAGUUAUGAUUUAUAUCAUUAAGCAGUGAGUCUUGCAGUGUUGUGUCACUCAUGUCAAUGAAGCAAGAAGUAUACUGCCGGCCCUUUAGCUGUGGCAUGUCAUCAAAGCUAUAUUAUGGUAUGACUGAGCACAGAUGGCAUGUCUAAAAAGCAGGUGUACAAUAUAACUUUCAUAUUACUGACACGUAGAUAUUUCCUCUUCCUCAGUGUCCAUUCCCAGAUGUUUGCUUGCCCAACCUUCUACAGGAACUAAAGAAAGUCCUGCUCAUCCUGCUCAUCCUUCAUGUCUGGAAUUGUAUCAUCAAAACCCAUAGAGAAUAUGUGUUUAUAUAUAUUUGUAUGUAUUUAUGCUGACAGCUCCUUUCUGAGGUUUUUUUCAGAGUCCUGAUUUGAGGAAAGUGGAUGCAGAUCUCACUCAAAUAAUCUUUCUCCAAUACUAUCAACAUUGCCUGCCAAAAAUAAAAGUGGCAUAUGAAUCACAAUAAUUCACUCAUGAUUUGGUGGAUUUAAAGCCUGCGAAGGAGCAUUAGAAAUCCACAUGGUGCUCCUGAGCUUUAUGGACUUUGAAUGGUGGUGAGGUAAUGAAACUGUUGAAUCUGCAGACUGAAACCGUCAGAAGCCUUUCCUGAGGUGCCCCUUACUGAAAUGCUACUGUGGCAUAAUGAUUUGGAAAUAAGCUUUUGUGUGAGAAGAGCUAUCGGAUCCUCUGGGAAACAUUACAGAUACUUUCCAGUUCCUUUCAGACAUGCCCUGAUGCUGCACAGUACCUCAAUCCAUUCAGCUUCUCUUCAAGAUGGUAACUACUUUCCGCUCCACAUCUCUGCUGCAGAAGAUCUUGUGAUUACCUGAAAAAGUGAAUUGCAUCCUGUAGAUUUCCCCUUAAAACUUCUGCUUCACAGAAGAGAUCAGCUUGUGACAGAUGCGUCAGCAAUGUCAGACUCACUUCUCUGUUGCCUAAUUGCCCUCUCCACCUUCUGUCAAUCUGAAACUCUCAUUUUGGAAAGGACUGAAGGAGUUGUAUUAAUAUUUGUGCUAUCCACAUUUUUCCUGCAUAUUGUCUGCUCCUUCCCUUGGUGUCUGGUUUGUCUUGGCUGCUUUUAAAAAUUCUGUUGCCUCUAGUGAGGGACUGCCAGAUUAAACCAGUACAGAGAAUCCAGGUGACUGUCUACUUUUACAAAUAUAGGUUGUGUAUAAUAAAUUCAGGUUUUACAUCUAUGCAAAUUAAGUCAUCAUAUGAUUAUGACUACAUGCAUUUUUUUAUCAAAUAUGGCAUAUAUUUCACAAAUUAUAUUUAACUUAUACACAUGUUGCUAUUCUGAAUACCUGACUAGGAAUUACAAAGUGUGUCACUAGAUCUUAGUAAGUGGGCUUAUGGAACAAGAAGAAAUAAGAGAAAAUCACCUCUUUUCCUUGCAUUCCUGACAAGUCCAGUGUAAGGGCUUUUCCUACUCUAGAUGGCAAUAUAAACACCUUACCACAGAGCUGUUGAGAGAUAAAAGUACAUCUUGUUGUUGGAAACUUAAAGAAUGUAUGAAAAACAAAACAAAAUACCCUAAAAAAGGAAGUUUUAAAGUAAUGUGUCUUUGGUCUAGUGUUUGUCACAUCUACUUGGUAUGGCCUUCCUCUAAUGUUUCAGUCAUGCAGUGUAAGACAUUAGUCACAAUGUCAAAAUAAGCACAUUACUUCUGCAAAAAUGUAUUUUCACCUCAGGAAUAUUGUGAAGUGAAAAUAGGAUUUAGCACAAUUCUUCCUUUUGAGUUUUUCUACAGACAGGACAGUUUUAGUGUAAAGCUCUAAAUCUUGCAAGAUUAUUCCCAGCAUUAGGUACGACACAUCUGGAAGAAUCUGCCAACUGAGUGCUGGCAAGGAUUACGCUGAGAAGGUAACAACUCAGUGCUUUCACUGUUAACCGUCCUCCACAACUGCUGUUUUUUGGUGUUUUUGUGUGUGUGUGUUCGUUUGUUUCUUUGUUUUCCGAAUAAAUAAACAAAUACUUUGUUGAGCUCAAGAUGUCUCUGUCAGUAUUUAUAUUUCAGACUGCAGGAGAAUCUGAUCUGGAUGGAUGUACAAUUCAGGUGGAACUUAGGUGUGAUCCAGAAAACCUCUGCUAAACAGAGGCAGUUGCUAAACCUCAAAGCAGUAUGUUACACCUCUAAAUUCACCCUUUUCCAUCUGGGAAUGCCAGGCUACCUUUUGGGCCUGCUCAUGUCCAAGUCCUCUGGACCCCAGAUCUACGAUGUUUUGUUCCUCCACCCAAAUCAUUUAAUUGGCACAACCUGAUCCCUAC